UACGUAGGGGGCGAGCGUUGUCCGGAAUCAUUGGGCGUAAAGCGCGUGUAGGCGGCCCGGUAAGUCCGCUGUGAAAGUCCAGGGCUCAACCCUGGGAUGCCGGUGGAUACUGUCGGGCUCGAGUCCGGAAGAGGCGAGUGGAAUUCCCGGUGUAGUGGUGAAAUGCGUAGAUAUCGGGAGGAACACCAGUGGCGAAGGCGACUACCUGGCCUGUUCUUGACGCUGAGGCGCGAAAGCUAGGGGAGCAAACGGG
rnacentral:rRNA from 1 species